rnacentral:rRNA from 1 species
UAGGGAAUCUUCCGCAAUGGGCGAAAGCCUGACGGAGCAACGCCGCGUGAGUGAUGAAGGUCUUCGGUUUGUAAAACUCUGUUAUUAGGGAAGAACAAAUGUGUAAGUAACUAUGAACGUCUUGACGGUACCUAAUCAGAAAGCCACGGCUAACUACGUGCCAGCAGCCGCGGUAAUACGUAGGUGGCAAGCGUUAUCCGGAAUUAUUGGGCGUAAAGCGCGCGUAGGCGGUUUUGUAAGUCUGAUGUGAAAGCCCACGGCUCAACCGUGGAGGGUCAGUGGAAACUGGAAAACUUGAGAGCAGAAGAGGGAAGUGGAAUUCCAUGUGUAGCGGUGAAAUGCGCAGAGAUAUGGGGGAACACCAGUGGCGAAGGCGACUUUCUGGGCUGUAACUGACGCUGAUGUGCGAAAGCGUGGGGAGCAAACAGG